GUCAAAAAACCGGAGUUGCCCUUUAAUGUGAUGAGUGAGCGAGCGGCCCUGUCCCAAGAUGGCCGCCAUGUGACGACGUUAGUCCCCACUGGGUUACAACACGCAUGAGCCAUCUAGGGUUUGUAUAUAUAUCUAUGUUGGCAUCCACUGCCCCCUGAGUGAC